AUUCCUCACUUGGGUGGCACAUAUAUUAAAAUUGGAAUGAUACACAGAAGAUUAGCAUGGCCCUUGCACAAGGAUGACAUACAAAUUCAUGAGGUGUUCCAUUAAAAU